UAUAUAUAUGUAUAUAUAUAUAUAUAAUCUAUAUCUCCUGAAUUAGUUCAUGGAGACUAAAUCCUCUCUGGCAUGUUGCUAUAGUUCAAGUUCUAGCAUCAUUCUUUUGAAAUGUGUGUACAUUUAUGUAUAUUAUGUACACCCAUGGGUUCAUAUACACAUACAUAGGUGUAUAUUAGUUUCUAUAAAACGAUAAGUAUAAAUGUCAACAUAAUAUGAAUAUUUACAGCUAACAAUGCUGUAAAUGUGAAUCUUUUAAUUAUUCAUGUAAACAGCUUGUUAGGCGUACUAUUAUUUGUGGACUAAGUGAAUGUAACAUAGUCGUGUGACUCCAAACAUUGAUUCCUCUAAACGGGUUUAAACAAAACGAGAAAAAGUGUUUGUAAAUGUCUAUGAACUAAUAUUCUGUUUUCUGUGAAGUUCAUGGACCAACGGAAUGAAACUAACAGGAGAUAUAAAGUUAAGCUGUUCAUCACAUGACAUGUAAUCACCAGCACGUUGGUGCAGAUACGAGUAAAUGCUCUUUAUAUAUAUAAACACUUGGCUGCCUCUCGACGGGAGCUCAACUCCGUUUAAAACAAACUCAAAAGAUCUUUAAGAAGAAACAGAGCCAAUCUGUCGCCAACAUGACUAAUCCUGCUGGCAGAGGCUCUGCGCGGUUACCACGGUUACCACGGCAACGAGGGGGGUGUGCCAUCCACGACGCGGUACGAAGGGCUGCAGGAGGAUGCGUUUACCGUCGGCCCAUCCGUGUCAAUAAGAGGAAUACUGAGCUGGAGUCAUCGCAGCCGUAGGGUCACAGCAGCGGCACAUGUUUGUAGUCGUCUCUAAUCAACUAAUGACUUCAUUAAUCCGCUUAAGCUCCUCUUUUGUGGAACCAGCUUCCACUUUCUGUCCAGGGGGCAGAUUCGGUCAGCUCAUCUAAGAUAAAGCUUAAGACUUUCCUCUUUGAUAUGGCUUAUAGUUAGGGCUGGCUCAGGUUAGUCUGGACCAGCCCUUAGUUAAGCUGCUGUAGGCUUAGACUCACAGGUUUCCAUGCAUCAUGGUUCUAUCUGGAUCCUGUUCCUGCCUCCUGCCGUGGCCCUGCUGACACCUGCUGCUGCCAUCAUCAGUAUUAUUACUAUUUUAAAUAUGAAUCAUAUUACUAUUACUGUCCACAUAAACCACCAUUUCCUAAAGGCGUGUGCUUUUCCUCCCCACAGGCUUCUGUGGAUGGUGGUUCUAUGUGAUGGUGGUUCUAUGAGGUGGGGGUUCUAUCUGAUGGUGGUUCUAUGGGAUGGUGGUUCUAUCUGAUGGUGGUUCUAUGAGGUGGUGGUUCUAUCUGAUGGUGGUUCUAUGAGGUGGUCGUUCUAUGUGAUGGUGGUUCUAUGAGGUGGUCGUUCUAUGUGAUGGUGGUUCUAUGAGGUGGUCGUUCUAUGUGAUGGUGGUUCUAUGAGGUGGUGGUUCUAUCUGAUGGUGGUUCUAUGAGGUGGUCGUUCUAUGUGAUGGUGGUUCUAUGAGGUGGUCGUUCUAUCUGAUGGUGGUUCUAUGAGGUGGUGGUUCUAUGGGAUGGUGGUUCUAUCUGAUGGUGGUUCUAUGUGAUGGUGGUUCUCUCUGAUGGUGGUUCUAUGUGAUGGUGGUUCUAUGUGAUGGUGGUGGUCCCUGCAGUGGUCCUGCAGUACACCUGCUCACUACUCCCAUUAUUUGAAUCAUCUCUGUCAUAUGAAUUGAAUGUAUCGUUCAUCUUCCACAUUGUUCAUUCUGUCCUCAUGACAUCAUCGUAGUCUGUCCAUCAGGAGACGGAUCCUCCUCUGACGUUCUCACUGAGGGUUCUUCCCUUUUCUCCCCAUGGAAGGGUUUCAUUGUUUGGGGAGUUUUUCCUGUGAGGGUAUCUGGACAGAGGAUGUCACAUGUGUACAGACUAAUACCCACUGAGGCAAAUUUGUAAUUUGCAAUUUUAGCUCUACAAAAUAAAAUAAAUUGAAUUGAAUUCAUUAUUUUCUAAUUGAUUUGUGACUUGGUCAACGUUUCUCUUAUAUCAUAAUCAAUUAGAUAUUUUUAUAGCUCAACAAUCCAAAAUCCCACAUUUCCCUUAGAGGGAUUUUAGAAUCUGUUUCAGAACAUAGCGACAUGAUGGAGCCUCACGUCUCUCAUCCGAUCUCCUAUAAUAAUCUACAAUAAUACAGGAG
ensembl:lncRNA